rnacentral:lncRNA from 1 species
UUUCGUGGAAAAAUCUAGUUUACAAAGGGUAAAAAACAACGACCUUCACCCUUACAGGAUUCAACCAAACUUCACUAACACAAUGAACCUUUAACAAAGUUUAGAUUAUAACUCUUUCAAUUCUAGGAACUAAACUAUAAUCCCUAUAACUUCAACAAUAACCCUUGAAUGUUGAAACCCUUCUUCGAGUUGCCCUCAACUUAAAGUGUUUCAAUUUAAUAAGAACAAUACAUAAAAUUAGACUAAAAAACUGUAAAACACAAUCCUAUGAAACAUGUUCUAUAAUUUAGUUCUUUGUAUUGGUUGCACUUGGAUCUCCAGUCAAAACUCUCUCAAAUAUGAACUCCCUCUAUUUGAUUGUAAUUUGUCUUUGCUCUCAACAAAAGUGCAGAGUAGUCUUCGUAGAGGCUUUUGUGUAUUUAUAUCUUUGAGUCUUGUCUUCCUUCAAGAAGGCUUCUUGUUUUCCAAGGAAUCUCAUUCCUUUUUAGGGUCUUUUAAUAUGCCGACCAUACUUGAGAUCCUUUUCCAUAUAGGAUUCUUCUAUUUUAGGUAACCUUUUGCACGUUGGACUCUCAUCUUGGACAUGAAACACACUUCAAAACCUUCUGCAUUUGAGAUACUCGUUGUUCAAGUUGGAAUCUUCCUAAGUGGAACAAUUAGUAGGAACCUAUUUCUUGCAUAUGUUUCAUUUCUCUGUAAAUCAUAAAAAAUCUUAUUAAAUCUAUAAAUUCUCCUUUUUUGAUGAUAAUAACCCCCUACUUCUUCUGUGUUAUGUUCACCCUGUUUUAUAUCCAUUUUUUAGGCAAAGCAUCAAAAUUCUUUCUCAUCAACCAGCAAUUUGGUACCUAGCGAGACAUAUUGCAAGACUCAAAUCAAUAAAAUAUAACAAAUUUGUGUUUUAAUUUCAUAAUAGUAAAUAACAAGCCUCCCUUUUACUAAAAGGUGGGGGUGGGUAUAAGUGGAAUAGUCAAUAUAAACAAAUGUUUGGAGAAAUUGGGGUUAGGGGAUGUCGGCGGUGAGAGAUUUCGGGGAAGGAGCUCCGCUUCUUGGAGAAAUUAUGUGUUUGUCGUUGGAGGAGAGCACCACCGUCCCACCGCCAUAUCAAAAACUGAUAGUGAUAGUGAUCCCAAACAACGUUUAAUCUCUCUCGAUGUCUUCAGAGGCUUUACCAUCGCUGUAUUUACUUACUACUUUCCCCCUUAAUCACCUUUUAACAAAAAUACAUUAGCUAGAACUCUUGAUACAAAAUGAUAUGUCAACCUAAAAAAUUUGAUUGACUAUUGAAAUUAUAUUAGUGCAUAUAAAUUGAGAUGUGACAGAGGAAGACAUAAAGUAACAUAUAUUAUUUGAAAAUGAGAUAAAAGUAUUAUAAAUCACAAUAAUUAAGAACUUAAUAUAAAUGUACAUGUGUAAAAUAAUAUAAAAAAAUUUGAUUGACUGUCGAAAUUUUAUCUGUUCCACAUAGAUAAAGACAGAGAGAAUAUUCAUAUAUUAUUGAAAAAUUAUGUAAAAAACAUUGUAAAUCAAAUAAUUAAAAACUUAAAUUAUUUAAAAGAUAUAAAAUAUUUGUCCGACUCUCGAAAUUAUAUCAACAUCACUUAAAUUGAAACAAAAGAAAAUGAUAUCAUAAAUUACAAUAUUAAAAACUUAAAUUAUUUUAAUAAUUUAAAUAUUGAGAUAAAAAAAUAACAUAUAUUGCUAGCACGAGGCAUCAAUAGCUAGUUGAUUCGAAUAAAUUUUAAAACAAAAGUAUGGUAAUAAAAUUUUUACAUAAUGUUAUUUUAGUGACCCCCUAACUUGCCUAUGGAACAAGUUUAUUUAUUUGUUUCUUUACAAUAACUUGAUUUUAUAUAGAGUAAAGAAAGUAAAGUAAAUUGCACGGUAUUUUUCGUGGAAAAAUCUAGUUUACAAAGGGUAAAAAACAACGACCUUCACCCUUACAGGAUUCAACCAAACUUCACUAACACAAUGAACCUUUAACAAAGUUUAGAUUAUAACUCUUUCAAUUCUAGGAACUAAACUAUAAUCCCUAUAACUUCAACAAUAACCCUUGAAUGUUGAAACCCUUCUUCGAGUUGCCCUCAACUUAAAGUGUUUCAAUUUAAUAAGAACAAUACAUAAAAUUAGACUAAAAAACUGUAAAACACAAUCCUAUGAAACAUGUUCUAUAAUUUAGUUCUUUGUAUUGGUUGCACUUGGAUCUCCAGUCAAAACUCUCUCAAAUAUGAACUCCCUCUAUUUGAUUGUAAUUUGUCUUUGCUCUCAACAAAAGUGCAGAGUAGUCUUCGUAGAGGCUUUUGUGUAUUUAUAUCUUUGAGUCUUGUCUUCCUUCAAGAAGGCUUCUUGUUUUCCAAGGAAUCUCAUUCCUUUUUAGGGUCUUUUAAUAUGCCGACCAUACUUGAGAUCCUUUUCCAUAUAGGAUUCUUCUAUUUUAGGUAACCUUUUGCACGUUGGACUCUCAUCUUGGACAUGAAACACACUUCAAAACCUUCUGCAUUUGAGAUACUCGUUGUUCAAGUUGGAAUCUUCCUAAGUGGAACAAUUAGUAGGAACCUAUUUCUUGCAUAUGUUUCAUUUCUCUGUAAAUCAUAAAAAAUCUUAUUAAAUCUAUAAAUUCUCCUUUUUUGAUGAUAAUAACCCCCUACUUCUUCUGUGUUAUGUUCACCCUGUUUUAUAUCCAUUUUUUAGGCAAAGCAUCAAAAUUCUUUCUCAUCAACCAGCAAUUUGGUACCUAGCGAGACAUAUUGCAAGACUCAAAUCAAUAAAAUAUAACAAAUUUGUGUUUUAAUUUCAUAAUAGUAAAUAACAAGCCUCCCUUUUACUAAAAGGUGGGGGUGGGUAUAAGUGGAAUAGUCAAUAUAAACAAAUGUUUGGAGAAAUUGGGGUUAGGGGAUGUCGGCGGUGAGAGAUUUCGGGGAAGGAGCUCCGCUUCUUGGAGAAAUUAUGUGUUUGUCGUUGGAGGAGAGCACCACCGUCCCACCGCCAUAUCAAAAACUGAUAGUGAUAGUGAUCCCAAACAACGUUUAAUCUCUCUCGAUGUCUUCAGAGGCUUUACCAUCGCUGUAUUUACUUACUACUUUCCCCCUUUUUUCCCUUGUCAAUAACUCAUCAACCUUUUCUAUUGCUGGUGGAAAAUGUAAUUUUUGAUUCUUUCUUCCUUUCUUCCUAAACCUUAUGUAACAAUUGAUUUCCAAUAGGUCUAUCACAUAUAUAAACACUUACAAGUCAAGAACUCAUUUAGAUAUAUCAAAGUAUUUGCAAAUACAAGGAAAUAACACUUAACCCGUACCAAACACUUUCAUUGAUCAUAGAUAAAGUACACUACAAUAUGAAAUCAAAAAUUAAACACAAAACAAGGUACUAUAGAUGAAACUAAUGAAGGUUUGGAUUAGGUAAAAUAGGAAAUUUAGGCUGUUGGAAUAGCAGGAGCCUAGAAGAGGAGUGGGAUCUUUCUUAAGAAGCUCAAAAAGGUCCUUUAGGUUGGACGAAUUUGUAGCCCUCUCUUUGUCCAGUUCAACCUUGAGCCUUGUAUUUUCUUCCUUUUAACCUACCUUCUCAAGGCCAUAUUAGAUUUGGAGCAGGUCCAAAGCAUCUUGAUUUAAGGCACGAAUAACUGGAAUUUCAGUAUUCUUUUUGCUGAUAUGGCCUUUAAUCGCUGUAAAGGUGCAUUGACUCCUCUUUGAGGAGCUAGUAUAUCAAUCUUGUUUACUACACCAAUUACAUGUUUAGUGGUUUGAUGAUGUCGAUUCUUAACCGGUACCCUCAAGUGUUCAAAAAUAUACCCCAACCAAAACCCAUAGCCUAAUGCAUGCUUAGUCUUGUUCUUUUUGUAAUUUUGAGCAUAUGACACAACAUUAACUUAGGCAAAUUGAUAGGGACUCGAGAAACAAGCAACUCCAAUCCAUAUAGUUAGCCUCAUGUGCUUAUAGUUCUUAGAAAGAAGUAUUUUAUGCUACACACCAACAAUAACUUGUGCAAAGAAAGCAUAACACCUUUGUCCACCCUGUCAUGCUCAUCCAAAUUUGGGUCAUCAAUAAACUUUCUAGCAAUGUCCAAAGUUAAGGUAAAAUAAUCCAAUGGAGGCCAAUUUUUUUUUCAAAUAAUGCCACCAACCAUCAGUUGGAACACCCAAUACUUGAGCAAGAAAGUCUGGGAUAAAGGUGAUAGGAACAUCCCUAACCGUACUAGAUAUAGAGGUUAAGGAACCUGUGACAUUGAUGUAGAACUCUCUAUAUCCUUCUUACCUAUUUUUAUUUUCUUUUUUACUUGAAGGUAAAGAUAUGAAAACCUUGUGCUUGAAUGAGAAGGAUCAAUUUAGUCAUCUCAACUCUACCAAACCCAAUAAUCACUCUCCCCUAAUGACAAUUCUUUUUCCAAAAUUGACAAUCUUAACCGUUUUAGAAGAAUGAAUAUCUUCCACAUCCACAUAGGACUAAAUAUCAUCCUCAGUAUCACCUAAAAAAUCUUCUUAAUCAAUUUCAUUCUCCCUAAGAGAUUCAUAUGAAGAUCCUUCUCAUCAGUAUCCUCACUAUUAAUGGGUUUUUUAACCAGCAUAUGGACAUGUUGCUUGACCCAUUUUUGAGUGGUUUUGAAGAUGUAACACGUUUACCCUUUCUUUUUUAGCAGCCUCCACCUCAUCAUUUAGAAUUUCAAUGGGAGCAACUGGAGGAACAAAUUUCCCUUUGUUAGAAAGAAUUUUUUGGACAAACAUAGCGACCAAGCCCUCAUCAAGUGCUCUUUUUUCACUCUCAGUUAUUUGAACAGGAAUAACUUGAGAGGGUGAAGCUGAUCGUUAUCAAUUAGUUAAUUAAAAGGAAUGACCACAUGUUUUCUAGUGGCCUUUCUUAGACAUGAUCUUACACCAACCAAUUUGGCUAUGCGAAUAUCCUUCUUUUCAUCAACAAUUAUAGAGGAACGGGUUGUAUUAAUAUGUUUCUUAUAGGUGGUACUAUUAGUUUCAUACCCAGUAGCUGCAUCUUUAGAUAACAAACCUAGUUUCUUAUCUACAUUGAUCCCAAUAGAAGAACUUGAUUUUAUUGAAGGGUCAUGUAAUACCUCAAAUUUCUAGUCCUUGAAAAUUUUUAAAAUUUUAUCCUCACUGUCAGACUACGACUCUCCUUACAAGUCGUAGGAAGUUUUGACUAGUCUUAAGGACCCAAUCGUAGAAUGACCAAUAGGUAGGGCUGGAUUUUCUGCUAUGACUAUGACUAGGACCGCACGAGUUGUAAGGUCCCAUAAUGAGUUGUUAAGUGUUAGUCGUAAGGUGAUUAAUGUAUGCCUCAAAAGUUUCUGUCUUGAUGAUGGGUGGUGCAUGCGAGUCAUAGGGAAUAGUUAUGAGUCAUAAGGUAUGACUCAUAGCCAGAUCAGUGGGGGUGCCCUGGGGUACUGUAUUGACUGACUCGAAGAGGUGAAUCAUAAGGAGUCAUAAUGAGUUAUUAGAAGACCCAUAGCGACUGGGUAAUAUUUUUUUGGUGUUUUAAUUAAGGGCAUUAUGUUCAAUUCCCCUUCUCCCUUACUUAGACCCCACGACCAUAAAGCACUUUAAGGAUUAUUUUUGAUUCAUAACACAAUAAAAAACACUUUCUUCUCUCUAAACUUUCUAAGUUCAAGAUACUUAGGAUUUUUAAAAAGUAGUUCAUUCAAGGGUUCAAGGGCUGAUUUCUCUGCAUCAACUUGGAUAUUUUAGGCAUGUUACUUUUCCUCAAUUAUUACUUUACAAAAAACAUGUAUUUAAAUAGUUUAAUUGGAUGGUUUUGCAUAUGGUUUUGAUAUGGUUGAGGGUUUUGACAUGGAUGGUUCUCAAAUUAUUUUACUAUGAUUUAUUAUGCAUUGUUUAUUCUUUGUUAAUGGUUUUGAACUUGUGGGGCGCAUGCGUAUGGUGAAUAAACAAAGGGGUCAUGGUUUUCCCUAAAUUGAUGUUUUGAAAUUGAAAUUGAUUUUGAAUAAUUGUGUACCCUCAACCCACCUAUGUAAUUGGCUUUGAAUUGUGAAAUUAUCAAUAAGUUUGACUUAAUCACCUAUGUUAUAGCAUUAAAUGAAUAGUUAAACAAAGAACAUAGAUUUUGAAGGCCUUGUUGGCUAUGAUAUGAUUUAAUGAAUAAAGGGGGUCGAGAUAUUCCCCCAAGAUAAUCUGAUUAUUAUGGCAUAGAGGUAAGCUUGCUAGUAUAAGGGUAUGAAGAUGCCCAUGGUGUGCCUUAAUAGUUGGUUCAUUGAUUAAUAAAUGGGUUAUGUGAAACUUGCUUUAAAUUAGGCUUAAUAGGGGUUAUGUAACGAAGACAUAAAGGUGUGGGUCUUGGAUGAAUUGUACUAAAAACUUAUGUUUGCCGACAUGAGAUUUGGUCUUGAUGACCUGUGUGCAUAGUUUACACUAUUGAUAUAUUUGCAUCUUAGACUGAUGUCGGGAUGGGGCAUUUCCUGGUAUUCCUUGAUACCUUUAGUUUGUGUGGCUAACAUGCACUAGGGCCCUUUCAGCAGGGAAAGCUGAACCCAUAUAGCCCGUGGGUGCUUGCUUAUGAUGGUUGAGCUACAUAGUCCAGGAUAAAGUUUUUACUUUAUGCUAAGCCUCAUUCCUUUUCCUGGCAUGAUAUAUUUAUAUGUAUAUGGGAUUAUGCACAUUGGUUUGAAUGGUUUUUGAAAUAUGGAUCAUGGCAUUAUUUUAUCCCCUAUCCCUGAGUUAUAUGCUAGUGCUCAACCCACUAAUCAUCUCCAAAUGCUGUAUCUUCAUCGAUGCAGACACCAGAUAUACUUCUACUUUUCUUAUGUAGUAUUAGGUGGAUCGGCUUGGUUCAUCAGUCGUUAGUGGUGAAGCAGUGAGCUUUUAUUCUCUGGAUGACUUGGCCAUUUCAUUAGUUUUAUUUCAUAGACUAGAAUUGAAAAGUUCAUAUUAACAUUAUCAUUAUUAGAGUUGGGGUCAUGUCUAGACACUUUAUUGAUUUCGGUUUUGUUAGAAGGCUUUAUGAAUUACUAUGGACUUGCGUGAUGUUGGUUGGUUGUUUUUGGUCUACUAUAUCUUGUUUUGAUAAUGAUCAGCUGACAACAAGGGACUAGGCCAUUGGUUCUUCAUGGAAACAUACAGUUGUCACAAGGCCUAUAUAGUUUUGUCAUCUAGUGUAACAAACAGCGCAGGUGAGAUGUAUACUAGUUGAUAAUGCUCAAAUUACACUCUUGAAUGGGUGUAAGCGAUCGUUGUCAAUAUAAAACCCAACUAGGUUAGGGUCGAAUCUCACAGGGAAUAAGGUGUGAACUUCAAUUUGUUUAUAAAAUACUUUACUGGUAGUUUACUAUUUCCGAAAAUAGGGGUUUAAAUUUCACAGAGAGUCAAUUGUCACUUUCAAUGAUUUAGUGUUGUAAUCAAUAUAAAUGAGAAACUAGAGUUAUGUUCACCAUGGGUAUUGGGAGUUAACAAAUAUUAGGUAAUGCUUGGGAUUCUUGGAGUAAGUAGAAACAACAGAAUAUCCCUGACUAUGAUACUGUCUAACUUAUCUCUCGACCUCACUAGAUAAUUUAUUAUCUAAUUCUCUCAAACUUAGAUAACUUAUCUAUUUCCAAUAGGAUGUUAUCUUAGGAAGAUUAAUCCAAUUACGGCAUCAAUCAUUAAACAGAAGGUUGGUAGCUUUCGAGUCCCUGUUGAUUAUUCACGUCCUCUAGUCUAUUUCUCCAUUUGAAGCAAAUAUACCUAAGGCAUAAUUUAAUGUUUGAAACCAACAGAUUUCAGUCAAAACAACAGAAUUUCAAGAUGUCCUACUACCCUUUGAAUCCGUUAAAUGCCUAGUAACCUAUCAGACCCUAAUCCAUGGAUCCCAAAACUCUGGCUAAUGGAAUUAGCCACUCAUGAUUUGAUGAACGAAAUAACAAGUUGAAUUCAUCAUAAUAAGGAUAAACUUAUAAAUGGAUGAAAAACAACAAAAAGUUUCUUCAAUUUACUCACGAGAUAAAAACCCAAAAAUAGUUGAUAAGUGCUUUUUUAAAGAAACAAGAAAAAUAUUUGAUAGUAAAGAUGAAGCAAUGUUACGUACUUCUCUUCAGAAGUUCUUCUCUGAUAAUUAAUGAUCGAUCCCUAAAAAAAAACCUAAAACAAGUCUUUAAAUAGUCAACCCUAAAUAAGAAAAUAAAAUUAAAGUUUCAGUUUUCUUUUUAGAUUGGACGGCGACGAUCUUGACGGCAUGUCAGAUGUUUGAUGAUAUGUGCGAGAUGUUAUCAAAGGUUCCAGUGAAUUGUUAUCUUUUGAAUCUUCAGACGACAAACCUGACGGCAUGUCAAAAUUCUUGACGGCGCGUCACAACUGCCGUCAUAAAUUCACUGGAAAUUAAUAUUCUCUGCUUCUAGUUGAUGGCGAUUUUGAUGCCAUGUCACAUAUUUAACGGCCCGUUCUAAAUGUCUUCUUAUUUUAUCUCAAUUUCUCAGGUUUUGUCUAAGCUUGACAGAAACUUUGACAGCCUGUCCCAUGUAUGACGGCACUUCAGAAUUGACGUCAGCUAUACUUCAACUUAUUUACACCAAAUUUCAGCUGAUUUGUUCUUAUUUUCUUUGGUUUCCUCCCCGAUUACUUGUAUCUACAUUAACACAUUAAAAGCAAUAAAAAACAACAAAAGUUGAUUAAGACCUUUCAAUUAGAGUUAAAAGCAUCAAAUGUGUUAGCAUCGGCUCACACAUCACUAGUCAGGACACUUGGCCCAAUUAGAUUUCUACCCAUAUCAUUAUUCCGCUAUAAAAGGAAAAGAAUGCUUCUAAAUUGAGUAGUUUUUACAAUCUCGAUUAUUUAAAGAGUGAAAGAGGCCAAAGCUCAAAUUUUCAACAUUGCUCAAGUUUUAAUUUUGCAUGCUGAGAUAAUAUGUAUGUUCUUGAGUCGACUCUUGGUUUGUAAUUGAAUUACUUAUAUUGUAAGACUAAUGUUUUCCUUAUUUUUCUUGAGAGUGCUUAGGUAAAGUUACCUGAGUUUAAAAUUGGUUAGAGUUAAUUAGUAUUGAGGUGUGUUCUUGGCAGAGUUAUCAAGGUAGGCUUAUAGUAGAGUUAUUACAAGUGGAGCCUAGAGUUCAGUUCAAAUCAAAUCUGUAAUUAAGAGGUUGAUUGUGGUGAAUUGUUGAAGUGCUUGUGAGAGCAAGCUGUGGCUUUUCCUCCCCUGAGCAAGGAGGUUUCCACGUUAAAUCCUUGUGUUUUUAAAUUUUUACAAAGCUUUAGCUUUCUUAUAAAUUUACUGCAUUAUUGCCUCUGACUAACUUUAAAGGAACUAGUCCCUUAUAGUGUGGUGCAACCCCCACGUUUCAUCAAUUGGCAUCAGAGCUAAGACACUCUAAAAUGUUCAUACCUAGAGUGAUUUAUUGAUUGUGACUGCUCGGCCUAAUUUGGAAGAAGGGUAAUCUACCACUAAACCACCCUGAUUUAAUGGGCAGUACUAUGGGUGAUGGAAAACAAGAAUGUUUGACUUCAUUAUGGCUAAGGACUAUGAGCUGAUAAAUAUAAUACUUGAUGUUCCUCAUAUUCCUAUUAAAGAGUCAAAGAAGAAGACAUAACAUGGUUGGUUGAUAAAAAUAGGAGAGAGUUUGAUAAUGAAGAUCGAAAGAAAGUUGAAAAAAAUUACAAGGCAAAGAAUUACUUAUUUGUGAAAUAGGACCUGAUGAGUAUAACAUCAUUUCUACUUGUGAAAAUGCUAAAGAAAUCUGGACUGCCUGAAGACAGCUCAUGAGGGAACAACUGAUAUGAAGGAUUCUAAAGUCAACAUGCUUGCUACUUAGUAUGAAACCUUCACCAUGAAAGAAGGAGAGACAAUUCAAGAAAUGCAUACAAGAUUUACUUACAUCACAAAUGAGCUACACUGCUUAGGAAAAGUAUUUUCUUUGUAUAAAUAAGUGAGAAAAAUUUUAGGUGUUCUUUCUAAGUCCUACUAAAGCAAAGUGGAUGCUAUAACUAAGGCAAGAAACCUGAAGACUCUCACUAUGGAUAAGAUCAUUGGUAAUCUAAAGAUUCAUAAGCUUAAGAAGCAGUAAGGACAAGAAAAUAAAGAAGCAAAAGAGAAAAAUCUAUGGCACUGAAGGCUGUAAAAUCUUAUUCAAGUAAAGAAGACACUGAUGUUUUCUAUUUGUCAAAAAAAAAUUGUUAGAGAUAUGAAGAAAAUUUCUCAAUUUCAAAGAAAAUAAAGUAGCGAGAAAAAGGGUGGCAAGGUUGAAGUUUGUCACAAAUGUGGAAGUUAUGUGCAUUUUAUUAAGGACUGUCCAAUGUUCAAGAAAGAUUAUCAGGAAUAUCUCAAGACUGGAGGUGACAAAGGAAAGACAUGGACCAGGUCCAUGUAAUAUCAAGCAGAAUGGCUACAGAUGAUGAUGCAGUAAGGUAGAACCUCGCAGUGUGGGGAGAUUCCUCCAGUGAAUUUGAUGAAGCUGAAAAGGAUAAAGAUGUAUCGAUGCUGGUUGUGGAGGAGUGUUAAGUUACCUAUUAUUCCUUGUUUUCUCACAUGGAAAACACUAAAAAUAAAUUAGAAAUGAGGUAACUUUCUCUGAUAUUAACAAAAAUUGAGAUAACUACUCUGUUAGAAAGAUAAAGAAGCUAGGAAAUAUGUUGAUUGAUUAUAUGUGUGAACUUACUACUGAGAAAAAUGCUCUAGAAGAGAAAGUUGAGAAUCAAGAGCUUGAAUUAAUUUGUUUAACUCUCCAAAUUUCUGAAACAAAAGAACAGUUUGCUAAGUUAAAAUUUGAUAAUUUGAGUUUAUUGAGUCAACUGGAGAAAGUAAAUGACUCUGAGGAUAAAGGAAAGAAAAAAGCUUUAAGGCUUCAGAUUGAAUUUGAAGAUAAAUUGAGGGAUUCUUAAAAGAACCUUAUGACUACCUUCUAUAAGAAUGAAGAGUUAGAAAAGGACUUGGUCCAUCAAAAGGAAGAACUUAACAAAUCACUAAAAUAGACCACAUCCUCACAAAUCCAUUCUAAUCUAACAUACCCACUUACUUGGGUCUUAUGGGAAAGCUAUUCAUGGUAUUAGAAAUAGGGUUCAUAAACCUCUAUGUACUCAUUGUGGAAGAGAUGGACAUUGGAAGGAAAACUUUUAGUAUUUGGGUAAAUCUAAAAUGAGCAGUCCUAAUUGCAUUCAGUUAGGAAAAUUAUUAUUCUAAGGGUUUCAUGUCCUUGAAAAGUAUGAAGAAGAAUUCUCUACAUAGAUGGGUCAAGAAAGAAUUGAUCACACCUUUGUCAUUCUAUUGGGAAGUCAAACUCAAGUGGGUUCCUAAAUCUAACAAAUAAUUAUGUUUAAAGGUAUGAGGAGGGGAAUGCUGUUAGAACUGGUACAUGGAUAGUGGAUGUUCAAAUCAUAUGACAGGACUAACUUUUUUUUCUCUUAAUACACUUCAAGUUGGAGGUAUCUCUUUUAGAAAUGGCAAAAAGGGCUAUAUUCAUGGUGGGGAAAGAUUGGAAAAUGACCUAAUAAAGCAAUAAAAGAUGUGUACUAUGUGAAUGGGCUCAAGUACAAUCUUCUAAGUGUUUCUCAAAUAUGUGACAAAGGCAGUGAGGUUAAAUUUUCAGCUGAUAAAUGUACUAUGUCAAGCUUGAAAUAUGGGAAAUUUAUUCUCAAAGACAAGAGAAUAAAAAAUAUGUAUGUGGCUGAUUUGGACUCUGUGACUAAUGGACAAUUAAAUUAAUUUAGUGUUCUAAGUGAAGAUGCUGAUUUAUGACACAAAAGGCUGAGACAUAUAAGUUUCUCUUUGCUGAAGAAAUUGAGUUCAAGGGACCUCAUUCGUUGGAUGCCAAAUCUAAAAUUUCCUGACAACAAGGUUUGUAAUGCCUAUGUUAAGGGAAAACAAACCAGGUAUUCCUUUAAGCUGAAGAAGAAGGUGAGUACUUCUAUACCCCUAGAGAUGCUGCAUAUGGAUCUAUGUGGAUCUAUUAAAGUCUAAAGAAAAGGAGGAAAAAGUAUGUGUCGAUGAUUGUGAUUGUGGAUGACUACUCAAGGUUCACUUGGACCGUUCUUGAGAACAAAAGAUGAAACCUAUGACGUUUUUGUUACCUUUGGUAAGAAAAUUCAAAUAAAGCUGAAUUGUAAGAUUGCUCAAUUCAGGUCUGAUCAUGGAACUGAAUUUGAAAACUCCCAAAUUAUAGGAUUCUGUGCUGAAAAUAGAAUCAAUCAUAACUUCUCUGCUCCAAGGACUCCUCAGCAAAUGGAGUAGUUGAAAGAAAAAAAAAGAACUCUCAUAGAUACUACUAGGACCAUGUUAAUUGAUAGUGGGCAUCCAAAGAACUUUUGGACUGAAGCUGUAAACACUGCUUGUUAUGUGACAAAUAGGUGCUUAAUUAGAUCACUCCUGAACAAAACCCCAUAUGAGCUUGUGUUUAAUUGAAAGACUAAUCUUGAAUACUUCAGACCAUUUGGGUGUAAAUGCUUUAUUCUAAACAAUGGGAAGAAUGAUCUAGAAAAGUUUGACUCUGAGAGUGAUGAAACAGUAUUUGUGGGCUAUUCCUCAACAAGUAAAACAUACAAAAUUUUCAACGAAAGAACUCUGCGUGUUGAAGUAAGUGCCGUGGUUUUUGAUGAGUUAGGAAAGCUAAUAAAUCAUGAUAAUGGUGAAAAAUUAGAGAAUGAAGAGCUCAUUCCUGUUCAAAGAGAUAAUAUUACUAAAGAUGAUGGUCAAGAGGUUUAUGAUGCAGAUAAGAAUGAUUGGAGUGAUGGUGAUCUAGGAUCUCAGUCAUAGAUCCCAGCUUCAGCUGAAGAAUAAUAAAAAUGAUCCAGUCAAACUUUUUAGGGACCUAGUCCUAGUAGAACUAAUCUCAGAAGGUCAAACUGGUGGCAUAAAUCUUCUCAUCCACUUUAGAAUCUAACUAAACCUUUGGAAUCUGGAGUUUAAAAAAUAACUCAAGCCAAAAAUUUCAUUGCAUUUUAAGCAUUCCUGUUCCAAAUUAAACCUAAAAAUGUAAAAGAAGCACUAAAAUAUGUUGACUGGAUCAAUGCAAUGGAGGAAGAGCUUCAGCAAUUUAAAAUAAGUAAAGUCUGGAACCUGGUCCCCAAACUUAUUGACAGAAUAAUAAUUGACACUAAGUGGGUGUACAAAAACAAGCAUGAUGAACAAGGAACUAUCAACAAAAAUAAAGCAAGGAUGAUUGUUCGAAGGUAUAACCAGGAGGAAGGAACUGAUUAUGAUGAGAUAUUUUCCCCUGUAUCAAGAAUAAAGGCUAUCAAGAUUCUUAUUGCCUUUUAUACCUAUAUGGGGUUCAAGCUCUUUCAAAUGUACGUUAAAAGUGCAUUUCUAAAUAGAAACUUAAAGGAAGAAGUUUAUGUCAAACAACCUCUAGGCUUUGAAGAUGCAAAUUUUCCUCAUCAUAUACUCAAAUUGGACAAGGCUCUCUGUAGGUUAAAGUAAGCUCCUAGGGCUUGGUAUGAGGUACUUUUAAAGUUACUUUUGGAAAAUGGCUUUAAAAGAGGGAAAAUUGAAAAUACUCUCUUUUUAAAGUCCAGAGGUAGCAACUUACUGGUUAUUUGAAUAUAUGUUGAUUAUAUUAUCUUUGGAGCUACUUCUGAAUCCCUGUGUGAAGAGUUUACAAACUAAUAGGGAGUGAAUUAGAAAUGAGCAUAAUGGGAGAAAAGAGUUUCUUCCUAGGUUCGCAGAUCAAGCAAACUUCUCAAGGGACAAUGAUUUAUCAGGAAAAUUACAUCAAGGAGAUUCUGAAGAAAUACAAUAUAGGAGAUUCCAAGACAAUAGAAAAUCCAAUUGGAACCAACUCCAAGAUGGAUAGUGAUUAAUUUAGUCCCUCAGUUAAUGAUACCAUGUAUAAAAAGAUUAUUGGAUCCUUACGAUAUCUCACUAAAAGCAGGCCUACUAUUGUGUUUAGUGUGGGAAUGUGUGUAAGAUUUCAGGUCUGUCCUAAGGAGUCUGAUUUGAAAGCUCAAAAUGAAUUCUCAUGGUAUAGGGGACCUGGUCCUAUAUUGUUCUUCUGGAGACUGUUUUGAUUUAUUAGGAUAUGCUGAUGAUGAUUAUGCUGGCUAUCUGGUGGAUAGAAAAGUACCUCUAAAAUGGCUUAUUUUCUGGGCUCUUCCUUAAUCUCCAGGGGUUCUAAGAAGCAGAAUUCAGUUGCUUUAUCUACUGUUGUAGCUGAGUAUAUGGAUGCAACUUUUUUUAUGCUUAAUUGUUAUGGAUGAAACAUCAACUGAAGGUCUUUAGUAUGGUCUCAAACACUAUCCCUCUAAUGUGUGACAGCAUAAGUGCUCUCAACAUGGCCAAGAAUCUAGUGCAAUAUAAGACCAAGUACAUUGAUGUGAGACAUCACUUUCUGAGAGAUAAUGUUGAGAAGAAAGCUAUUUCCAUGAUGCUUUACAACACUGAAACUGAAAUAGAAGAUGAAUUUACUGAGGCACUUCACAAGGAACAAUUUGUGAAAAAUAGGAUGAGGCAUGGGUUGAUCAAAAAUAACAUGACCUACUAGAUAAAUCAGUUUUCUCCCUAAAAAUGGCUAUGAUUAGGAGAUUUGUAUCCUCGGUAAAGUAUGUACUUGUUGUUCUAAAUUUAUAUCAUACCUUUGUAGGUAUUCACCCAUGGGAACAACUUUGGAGGAGGACAAAUGUGACAUGCAUAAAGUUGAGGAUUCACUCAAGAAAAAGAGAGACCUGGUCCCAUCUCACAAGUUAGUGUCGUGAAUGUGCAGUUUUUGUAUUCUGUCAGAAGAAGCCAUGUGCACUCUCUUUCUAUGUUAGAAACUUAUCCUAUUCACAAAGAAAGGAUGAGUCACCCUAAAAUUGAAAUCGAUCACAUCUCAUUCUCACAAAAACUCUUCCUUGUGCUUAUUUGUUCCUUUAAAUCUUACUGUACCCACUCCUUCUCUUGUCAUAUGGAAUAAUCUAGUAAAAAAUAGCCCUCCUAUGAAAAGGAAAUCCAAAUGGCUACAAAUUUCCCAUUCUCUUAUCUUUCAAAGGACUCUGAGGUAGCAUAGAUAAAAAUCGUCUCUCAAAUUCUCUUGAAAAACACCUUCCUUCUCCUAGUUUUCAAAGGCCAAACUCCUUCUUUACUCAACCUGUUGGUGAAGAAUCAUCCUUAAAACCUCAAAAUAUUUCUGGUAGCAAAUUGAUGGAUGAUGCCUUAUUUGCUGAAAAUCUCAUCUUGCUUUCAAAUAGCCCAAGAAAGAGUGUAUUUAGUCCUAAUAAAAAAACUAUCAGUAAGAUAAAAAGAAAUCCCAAAGAGGAGUAUAAAAGCUUUGUUGAGAAGUAGCAAACUUCUGAAGGACCUGGUUCUAAGAAGAGAAAAAUGACUGAAGAAGAAUCCAUAAAAAAAGGGAAAAAAUGGAAUAAAAAAGAAAGGUUGUGUCUACAGAAGUGAGAAACAGACUUUUGAAAAAUCAAAAGGUACUAAUUGGGAGAAUCUUUGACUCAAAUAUGUUAAUAAAACUAGGUAUUAUAAAAUUAGUUGAGCUUGUUAAACAUCAAGGAUGGAUUUAUCUUAUGGAAUGAACCUUUCCCAUAGUUUCUGAUGAGGUAGUUGAUAAAUUCUAUUCCACAUUAAUUUUUUCUGAAGAUAGACUGCAGAUGAAUGCUGUAGCUCAAGGAAAGAAGAUGAAUCUUGAUGCUGUAUCACUUGGAGAAUUUUAUAGGUUUCUAUCAGUGGUGUGAGGACUAUCUCAAAACAAAAGCUAUCAAUAGCGUUCAUGGCAAAUGCAUUAAUGUUUAAAGAAAAAUCUGUAGCUGUAGUGAAUAGGAAAUCACUCAAAAGUAAAGCCCAAUUGGUCUUUGAUUUUGUAAACAAAGUGCUUCUGCCUAGAUCAUAAAAGAGGAACAUUGCUCCAACUGCUGAUUUGUAUAUGGAGUGUCUUGGCAAUUUUGAGUUUAUUUAUUUACCGACAUUAAUGAUGGAGCACAUGCAUAAGGUUAUUCUUGAGAAAAAUUGAAAACAUAGCAUGCCUUAUGGAUAUUAGUUGAAUAAAGUGUUUGGUCAUUUUGGUAUUGUCUGUAAAAAUGGAACUCCUGGAACUAUUCUACAACUAUUUGGUAUGAAGACUUUAGUCAAAACUGAAUGUGUGAAAAAAAAAAUCAGGUGGCAUCUCUCAAGAUGAGCUCAACAAGAUAAUAGAGGAUUUGAAAUUCAACAUAGCUGCAAAGGGUGGAGAGAUUAACAAAUUUCAAGUGACAAUUCAGCAUCUUUCCAAAAAGGAUCCAAGUGUCUCUAAAGAGCUUAGCACUGAGAAUGCUGAACUCAAAAAGAGAGUUUCAAAUUUGACUGGUUAGGUUCAUAGCUUGAAUAGAGAUAAGACAUCUAACUAAGGAAUUGUUACACUAUUAUACUACAGAGAAUAAUAACAUGGCUCUACUUCUCCAAACCCUCUUCCUAGGUUCGUUACCUGUUAAUCUUUCUUGAUUUCUGUGGGUUUUUCUCUAGAAUAUUUAAAUUAUGCACUGCAAUGAUACUUACCUUUUGCAUAUGAAUGAAUCUCAGUUAGAGUUAAUCAAUAUUGAGGUAUGUUCUUGACAGAAUUGUCAAGGUAGGCUUGUAAUAGAGUUAUUACUAGAAGGUGGAGCCUAGAGUUAGGUUUAAAUCAAAUUUGUAAUCAAGAGAUUGAUUAUAGUUGAUUGGUGAAGUGUUUGUGAGGGUAAGCCAUGGUUUUUCCUCCCUUGAGCAAGGAGGUUUCCACGUUAAAUCCUUGCGUUUUUAAAUUCCUGCAAAGUUUUAGUUUCCUUACAACUUUACUAUAGUUAUUACCUGUGAUUGACUUUAAGGGACCUGGUCCCUUAUUGUGUGCUGCAACCCUUACAUUUUAUCAUGGUCGGUUACUUGUCAUCGGUUAUAGACAUGUCUAAAAUUCUUUGUUCUUAUAUUAUGUUAUCUUAUUCAGAAUUCAUCUGACUUAGGAGUAUGAUGUUUUAUUUGGUUAGGUAAAGGGGGUGGUCUCCGAUCCUUAUUGGACUUGAGAUACCCAUCAUGGCCAGGCCUUGGUUAGGAUUGUGACAAAGUUGCUAUUAGAGCCAGGUUUGGUGUCAUUAAGUUUCAAUAAAGUCAUGUCAAUUAAAGUUUUUUUUAUAGGUGUAUAGCGUGCUGCACUUAUAAGGGGUAGGCUAUGAGGCAUUUAGGAAUGUUUUUCUUUCUUGUAAUCUACUAUUGGGCUGUAGAGUCAAAGAUCUUGAAAUCUCCUAUAAUUCACAUUUGUUCGCUUUUUAGAUCAUACCUCCUAAAAGAUCUGAUGUUCAUUGAAACUUCUAUGUCUUACCCGAGGAUAAUGUGGAUGAGGCUCAUCCUACUUAAGGAGUUAAGACCCAGUCUAGGAUACUACUUCUGAUUGCCCUAGUGGAGUUCCACCGGUCCCCACUAAUCCUUCUACUGUUGGUAACUCUAUUGCUUGGUCACCUCCAGGAGAUAUUACCAAUGCAGAGUUUCGCCAUUCCAUUUAUCUAUUGACCCUGUUGGUGACAUGUCAGUUAUGUCAGUUGGGUCCUAUUGGUGCUGUUGUGAGUUCUUAUAAGGCCACUAGAGUUGGCCACUUUAUGAGGCUGAAUCCUCUGACCUUUAUAGGUUCUAAGGAUGAGGAAAAUCCUCAAGGGCUCAUAAAUGAGUCGGAUAAAAUUCUCUAUGUGAUCCAUGCUUCUGAUUUGGAGGGUUGGAGUUCACUGUAUACCACCUGAAGGAUGUGGAGUAUCAGUGGGAUUAGGAGUGGGACUAGUCUAGGGGAGAUAAAGCUGAGUUGGAUUUAUGAAAGGAUUUCUCUAGUGUUUUUCUUGAUCACUUUUUCCCUCUAAGGAAGGCAAAUUCUUAGAAGUUCGUGAAUUUGAAGCAAGGCAAGAUGAUUGUGAAGGAGUAUGCCUUUAAUAUUCAUCAGUUGUCCCGUUAUGCUCCUGAGCUAGUAUCUAAUAUAAGGGCUAAGAUGAGGAAGUUUGCUUCGGGCUUAUCUCUAGACUUAGUGUUGGAGUGUAAGGCUGCUUUGUUGAACAGUGAUAUGGAUAUCUCUAGGCUUGUGGUGUAUAUGCAAUAAGUGAAUGAUGAGAAGGAAAAACAUCCAGAUAUCAAGAAAAGGAAGAGUAAGCAACCUCAGUUUUCUAAGUAGGGUGGUGGCCAGCAAAAUGGUGGCAAGGAUGGCAGACAGUGGUCUAAGAAGAAGUAAGAAAAUCCUGGUUCUUAUUCUACGGCUAAUGAUAAUAUUCUAAGCCAUAUGGUGAUCACCUUUUUCCGAGCAACAGUUGAUUUAAGGCACAAGGUGUUGUCUCACCCAAUUUUUCUCACGAAAAGCGGGAUUCAACAUGAGCACACUUUUUGGGGUAGUUUAAAGGAAGAGUAUGAAGAGUCGCCACCUAACGUAUUAAGGUGCGUUAGGACACCAAUCAGGCUACUACAAACCUAUUUUGUUUUAGUUCACUAGAGAUUUGGGUAAGGGUUUAAAUUACCUUGAAAGUAAGGUGUUAGGCACCUUUAAGGUUCACAAAGGUGGUUCCCGGCCAAAUUUGUAUUUUACGUGGGGAUUCUAUGUGAUCAAAUAAAGGUCUCUUGUUUUAUUAUUAACUUGAAUGUUGACUAAGUGAUAAAGUAACGAGUAAACAAACAUGUUAUUUUAUUAUUUCUAAUUAUUAACUAGGUGGUGAUAAAAAAAAGAUAACAAAUAAUGUAAAGUAGAGAAGAAAGAAGGAAAAGCAAUUUAUAACAAAAUAUUUAUGAAUUUUAAAAGAACUAAACUACCUCAAGCAACAAGCAUGCAAAGUAAUGUAAACAAACAAGGAAGAAAUCAUCAAAUCAAACAAAGAAAUGUUUUGGUCUCAUUCAGAUCAGAACUCUAACUUGUUUAAUCAUCAUCCGACCCACUGGCCGAACUCUUAGAGAAGUCAUGUGUCUUACCUUUAAUGUCUGUUGGAGAUCAUCACUUUUGAAUGACUACCUAUCUCACCCCUCCUAGGCUGGAUGUCAAAUCUAAAGGCGUCCUAGGACAAGGAUAAAACUAACGUCUUCAGAGUACCGAUAAUCCCACCUAUCGUCCAAGAGACAUUGGACUUUGUUAUUUUGGUUUUUAUGGUCUAGACAAAAUAAAGCUUUGUUACCUAGGACUCGAAGCGCAUAAUAAGCAGGACGUCACGUAGCACAUAAUUAUACCAAGUUAGCCUUUUGGUUAGUUAAAAUUUAUUAAUGUGAUUAACAUACAAAGAUGAUAAUAGAUUGUUUUUAUUUAGUUAACCUAUAGGGAUGAUAGCUAAGUGUUCAACAAUCCUUUAAAAUGACAAAAGAUAACUGUGAUUCACAUCUAAAUAAUGUGCUGCCAAUUUGUUAAAAGAGAAUGUCAAAGCGUGGUAAAUAUGUCAAGGAGUUGUGCUUAUGUAUUUCAUUGUGCAUGACAUGUUAUAAACUAAUGACAGUGUAGGAAAUUAAAGGUACAUGUUAAAAAUGCUCAAAAACCUACUUUUUAUCAUGUUGGAAAUUGUGUAAGUACGCAGGAAUUUCAUAGUGACAUGCUGGAAAAGGCGAUAACAUGCUGAAAAUGCCUUACCAUGCUGAAUAUUAUGUCAAUAGUGUAGGAAUUUUAUAUUAACAUGCUUGAAAGUACAAUAAUAUGUAGAAAUCCGGUGUUAACAUGUUCAUAAACUUUUAACAUGCUGUAAUCUGUGUUGACAUGCUAAAGUAUGCAAUGGUAUACCUAAUAUACUAUUCAACAUGCUAAAAUAUUUAAACUUAAUUUAAACGUGCUGAUACUGUAUUAAUGCGCAGUUGUUUUAUGUUAAUCAUGUUGAAAGUGUAUUAACACACUUGGACUUGUGUUUACACGCUGAAACAUUCGAUGACAUAAUUAAUUCUAAUAUUGAAUAUGCUGAAAUAUGUAUUAAUAUCCAGGAGUUUAAUUUAUCACGGCGGACAUUGGUUCGUGUAAUAACCCAAAUUUUUCGUAAUCUAAAUUUCUCCUCAAGAAGGUUAAGGAGUGACUUCCUAGGUGAGUAUAGUUUUAACAAUAUAGAAUUUCCCUAAUUUUAAUUUUUUAUCACAUGGGAAAUUUGAUAAGCUCUCUGUCGAUAUAAGAUUCGCCCAAAUCGAUGCUUGGACAAGAAGUUAUGGCUAAUUUAAGUUCUAGUUGUAAAACAACGUCAUUUUAGUGCUUGGCGCAUUGCGGAGAGGGUCUAUUUGAAAAUUAUCAAAUUCAAGUGGAACUCCACGAUAGUGGCAUGUCACAGAGGACCCCGAUUUCCCAAUAGUCAAUUUCCAGUGGCCUAACACUAUUAUGAUGCGUCGCGCUGAAGUUCCAGGUCCCUACUCACUACAUUCCCAAGUACUAUCCAUAUAUAUGUCUAUGUGUUACAUUGUCUAAUAAUGUAGGUUCAGGUACUCAGUCCCAGCCUCGUUAGUGAUUUUUGAGUACCUUUGUGUACAUCUCCACAGUGGUUAUUCCUCAUGGUUUGAGGAACUAUCUUAAAACAUUUCAGUAUUUUAGUAGAUAUAUUAUUGCUUUCAGUUCAGUUUGAGUUAGUUGGGGGCCUGUCCUAAUGGCUCUCUAGUCAUAGAGUAGUUGAGGCUUUGUCAGACUAGUUAUCAGAUUGUUAGUAUGUUGAAUUUCUAGUAUUGUGGUCAUUUGGACCGAGUAUUUUCUUUGUAUUUCAUAUCAUUUGAUAUGACAAUACAAGUGUUUUGUUUAUUUCAUCUCGAAAUAAGUUAUUAUAUGUAGUAAUAGGCUCAAAGGGUUAGCGUGGGGAUACUUGUAGCCUUAAGCACUGUGUGGUGCUUUGAGAUGAGAUUUUGGGACGUUACAAACUUGGUAUCAGAGCCUAAGGUUUAAGGAGUCCUAGGGAGUCUGAAAAGCCACAUUAAGUAGAGUCUUGAUCAUCGGUGUGUAGCGCGCCACACCUAUGAGCAAGAGGCUACCAGGCGUUCUAGGAAAACAUUGUUUAUUUCUUUUAGAUUCUAUCGUGCUUACAGUUAUCCCCCUUAUCUAAUAAUUUGUGCUCUCCUAUUUCAGAAAAUGCCUUCUCGAAGAGCGAACGUCCGCAGAAACGAUAGUGAGCAACCCCAUCCUGUUGAUCCCUUAAAUGAGACUGUGUAUCAUGCUAAGUUUCGAGCGGCCUUUUAGACGUUAGCCUAAGCAGUCACUGCCAAUGUUUAGACCAAUAACCAGGCCGCAGUUCCAAAUCAAUAGGGAGGUGAUUUAGCUGUUGCACGGAUUCUUGAUUUCAUGCAGAUCAAUCUGCCAGAGUUUUAUGGGUCUAAGGUAGGUGAGGACACACAGUUAUACCUUGAGGAGGUGAGAAAUAUCACACAGGUGAUGCAUGUUUCUUAUAGGCUGAAAGACAUAGCGCAUGACUGGGUGGUUGCAUGGAAGAAGACUACAAGGAAAGGUGAUAUCCCCAUUACUUGACAGGUGUUCCAAGAUGCGUUCUUGGAUAAGUUCUUUCCGUUAGACAUUGAGGAGGUGAAAAUAGAGGAGUUUAUGAAUGUAAGGCAAGGCUCUAUAACUAUUAAGGAGUACUUCUUGAAGUUCAACCAGUUAGCCAAGUACGCUCCUGAUUUGAUUUCUGGCACCCAAGCUAGUAUGAGCAAGUUUGUGACUGGUGCUUCUGGUUUGGUACUAAAAGAGUGUAGGACUGCGAUGCUGAAUAGGGAUAUGGAUCUAUCUAGGUUGAUGAUACAUACAUAACUGAUAGAGGUAGAUAAAAUAAGGGAGAGAGAUAGAGUGAGGGAUAACAAGAGGGCUAGAUCUGAGCAACAUGAGUAUAGUCAGGCUAGGUCCCAUGGAGGAAACCGGCCACAGUUCUAGGGCCGUUCGUCUAUGACAGUGCCUUGAUCAGCAAUUGCUCCCGCUUUUAGAGGUAGGCAGGAGCAUGGGAACAUGUCUUCUAUGUCCCGAUCCCAGAACAGUGUAAGUAAUAGGCCCUGCUAUUCUCCAUGUGCUAAGAUAGUAGAGAUCAUCCCAGUGAGUGUUUAGCAGACCAGAGGGGUUGUUUCAGUUAUGGUAAGCUGGGCCACAGACUUAGAGAUUGUCUGCAUGCUAUGCAGGGGAACAGAGAUGCCCGACCCAGAACAUAGACUACUAGUGCACCAGCUCCUGUAGCUUGUUCCGCCCCUGCUCAAGGCACUUCAUCUAGCACUACUGGUAGUCAGCGCCAUAAAAGAUUCUAUGCCUUACCAUCCCAUCAGGAGCAGGAGGAUUCCGUCGAUGUUGUUACUGGUAUGAUUCGUGUCUUUUGCUUUGAUAUUUUUGUAUUGCUGGUCCCCGGAUCAAGUUUCUCUUAUAUGACCCCAUUAGUUGCUGUGAAUUUCAAAAUGAGUCCCGAGAAGAUUCUUGAGCCUUUCCUAGUUUCCACACCAGUAGGAGAGUCGAUUGUUGCUAAACAAAUGCAUAGAGAUUGUCCUGCUAUAGUUCUUCAUAGAGUCAUAUUUGCUGAUUUGAUAGAGUUGAACAUGGUGGAUUUCAACCUUAUUCUGGGUAUGGAUUGGCUUCAUUCUUGUUAUACAUCUAUAAACUAUCGUACACGUGUGGUCAAGUUUCAAUUCUCUAAUGAACCAGUUUUUGAGUGGUUCGGGAGUUUGGUAUCUCCCAAGAGUCAUUUUAUCUCUUAUCUCAAAGCUAUAAAGAUAAUAUCCAAUGGUUGCCUCUAUCGCCUAGUUAGAUUCAAAGAUACUAAGUCCGAGGCUCCAACUAUUUAGUCAGUUAACAUUGUUAGUGAGUUUCCUGAUGUUUUUUGGAAGAUCUCCCAGGGGUACCUCCCCAUAGAGAGAUUGAAUUUGGGAUUGACCUUCUUUCGGAAACUCAGCCUAUUUCUAUUCUGCCAUACCGUAUGGCACCUGCAGAGCUUAAGGAGUUGAAAGAGCAACUCAAAGAUCUUUUAGAUAAAGGAUUCAUAAGGCCCAGUGUCUCUCCUUGGGGUGCACCUGUUCUUUUUAUGUGAAAGAAAUAUGGUUCUUUGUGUAUGUGCAUUGACUAUCGUCAGUUUAACAAGGUCACAGCUAAGAAUAAGUGCCCCUUUCGAGAAUUGAUGUCCUAUUUGAUCAGUUGCAAGGUGCAAGUUGUUUCUCCAAGAUAAACCUUAGAUCCGGCUAACAUCAGCUUAAAGUGAGGGAAUAUGAUAUUCCAAAGACAGCCUUCCAAACCCGUUAUGGUCACUUUGAGUUUCUAGUCAUGUUUUUUGGGCUAACCAAUUCCCCACUAGACUUUGUGGACCUUAUGAAUUGAGUUUUCAAGCAAUAUCUUGAUAUUUUUGUCAUUGUUUUCAUAGAUGAUAUCCUUGUGUACUCCCAUACUGAGAACAACCAUGCAGAUCAUCUUAGAGUUAUCUUGCAAACUCUUAGAGAUCACCAGUUGUUUGAUAAAUUCAACAAGUAUGAAUUUUGUCUAAGAUCAGUAGCCUUUCUGGGUCAUAUUAUUUCAGCCAAAGGCAUUAGAGUUGAUCCCCAAAAGAUAGAAGCCGUAAGAAAUUAGCCUAGACCUAUCUCUCCGUUUGACAUUAGAAGUUUCUUGGGUUUAUCUAGCUACUAUUUCCAUUUUGUUAAAGGUUUCUCUUCUAUUGCAUCCCCUAUGACCCGGUUGGCCCAAAACAAAGUUAAGUUCCAGUGGUCAGAUUUCUUUUAGAAGAGUUUUCAAGAGUUGAAGACUCGACUUACUUCAUCCCCUGUGUUGAAUUUGCCUGAUGUACAUGUGGUUUUGUGGUAUAUUAUGAUGCCUCUAGAGUUGGUUUGGGUUGUGUGUUGAUGCAAAGUGGUAAGGUUAUAGCCUAUGCCUCUAGACAGUUAAAGCCAAAUAAAAAGAACUACCCAACCCAUGAUCUUGUGUUAGUUGCUGUGGUCUUUGCUUUUAAAAUAUAGAGACACUAUCUUUAUAGUUUUCAUGUUGACGUGUUGACUAAUCACAAAAGCCUGCAAUAUAUGUUUACUCAGAGAGAGUUGAACCUUAGGCAGAAGAGGUAGUUAGAGUUGUUAAAGGACUAUGAUAAGAGUAUGUUGUAUCACCCAGGCUAGGUCAAUAUAGUGAAAGAUACCCUUAGUAGGUUAUCUAUGGGUAGUGUUACUUAUGUAGAAAAAAAUAUAACAAAGAGUUAGCUUGUGAUGUGCAUCGUUUGUCUAGAAUGGGUGUUAGGUUGCUUGAUUUCGCUGAGGGAAGUACUUUGGUGCAAAGUAGUUCCGAAUCCUCUUUAGUUUCAAAAGUGAAAAAGAAGCAAAACUUAGAUGAUAUUUGGUCAAACUGAAGGGGUCUGUUAAGGACCAAAAGGUAGAGGUCUUCUCCCAAGGGGGAGAUAGUGUGCUGAGAUUAUAGAGUAUAUUAUGUGUUCCUAGUGUGGGUGAUCUAAAGUAGAGAAUUAUGGCUGAAGCGCAUGGCGCACGAUAUUCUAUUCAUCCUGGCGCUACCAAGAUGUACCGCGACUUGCGGGAAAUUUAUUGGUGGUGUGGUAUGAAGAAGGAUAUAGCUGGGUUUGUAGCGAAGUGCAUAAUAUGCCAACAGGUUAAGAUAGAGUACCAAAGACCCGGUCGUGUGAUCCAAGAGUUCGGUAUUCCCACUUGGAAGUGGAAAGGGAUGAAUAUGGAUUUUGUGACUGGUUUACCUCUUUUACGGUGUCAUCAUGAUUCUAUUUAGGUUGUUGUAGAUAGAUUGACUAAGUCAGCACAUUUUCUACCUGUGCAUACAUCUUAUACAACUAAGGUUUAUACUAGAUUGUAAAUUCGAGUGUUGGUCAGGUUGCAUGGAGUUUCCUUGUCUAUCAUCUCAGAUAGGGGUACUCAGUUCACUUCUCAGUUUGGAGAGCUUUCCAGAGGGGUCUUGGCACCCAAGUUCAUUUGAGUUAAGAUUUUCAUCUACGGACAGAUGGUCAGGCUGAGAGGACCAUUGAGACCCUAGAAGAUAUGUUGAGGACGUGUGAACUUGAUUUCAAAAGUAGUUGGGAUGAGCAUUUUCCACUGAUCGAGUUUUCAUAUAACAAUAGUUACCAUGCUAGCAUCGAGAUGACACCAUUUGAGGCUUUGUAUGGCAGAAGAUAUAAAUCCCUCAUAGGUUGGUUUGAAGUGGGUGAGGAUGCUGUAAUUGGGAAUGAUGAAGUAUUUAAGGCUAUAGAGAAGGUAAAGUUGAGUAGAGUAAGGUUGAAGAUAGCUUAGAGUCGUCAAAAGUCAUAUACCAAUGUGAGGAGAAGAGACCUUGAGUUUGAGGUGGGUGAUUUGGUGUACUUGAAGAUUUCACCUAUGAAAGGGGUGAAGAGGUUUGGUAGAAAAGGAAAGCUUAGCCCUCAUUAUGUUGGCCCCCUAUACAGUCUUGAGCCACGUUGGUAAAGUAUCCUAUGAAGUUGAGUUGCCCAUCGAGUUGUCAGCCAUUCAUCCUAUCUUUCAUGUCUCCAUGCUUAAGAAGCACAUUGGUGAUUCCGUGGUAGUAGAUCCUUCGGAGAGCGCUGAUAUUCAGACUAGUCUUUUAUUUGAUGAGGUUUCCAUUGAGAUUCUAGAUUACCCAAUCCGUAGACUGAGGAACAAAGAGGUUAACUUGGUCAAGGUCUUAUGGCAGAAUUAGUCAGCUGAGGGCGCUACUUGGAAAGCCGAGGCAGACAUGCGAGCGAAGUACCCGUACCUCUUUUCCGCGAGUUCAGAUCAAGCCGAUGGUAAUAUACUUCCUUAAUACAGGCUCUUCUAAUCUAAAGUUUAGCGAUGCCUCUACCCUUAUUAAGUUCAUGCAUUCUCUAAAGUAUUCAAGAGUUUAGAAAGACAUAGAGUCAGUUUAGCGAGUUUUUCCAGCUUUACGUACUUAAUUUACUCCAUGCUCUUAGCUUAACAAGCGAUAUUCGUGGACGCAAGUUUCCAAAAGAGAGAUAUUGUAAUGCCCCAAAUUUUUCCUAAGAUGUAUUUCUCUUCAAGAAGGUUAAGGAGUGAAUUCCAAGGUGAGUAUCGUUUUAACCAUAUAGAAUUUCCCUAAUUUCGAUUUUUUUAUCACAUGGAAAAUUUUAUAAAAUUUCCGUUGAUAAAAGAUUCGGCCAAAUCCGAUGCCCGGGCAAGAAGUUAUGGGUAAUUUAAGUCCUAGUCAUAAAUAGUGUCAUUUUAGUGCUUGGCGCAUCCGGGGAGGAUCUAUUUGAUAAUUGUCAAAUUCCAGUGGAACUCCGCAAUAGUGGUGCAUCGCGGAGAACCCCAAUUUCCCAAUAGUCAAUUUCCAGUGGCCUAGCAUGAUUGUUACACGUCGCGCUGAAGUUCCAUGUCCCAACCAGUGGGACAAUGCAAUUGCUCCGCAUCACGUCAACUCCCAGAUUCCCAUUUGUCAAUUUCCAAUGAGCCACCGCGAUAGUGGCGUGUUGCGGUGGCCCAUAAAAUCGGGUUCCUAGAUUAAUUUUUUCAGCUUCGUAUAGAAUUUAAAAAGGGAACUUUGGACUUUUUCCAAGCCUCUUAAACCGUACAAACACCAAAUUAAAGUCAUUUACAAGCAUUCUAUGAAGUUUUUCUCAAGUUUUCUCUCAACAAAAGCCCUAAGUAUCCAAAACCUCUUCCAAGAAUCUCAAGAAUCCACCAUACAUUUUUUAAAUUGAGCCAAGAUUCAAGGUUUCCAAGUCAAGGGCUUCAAGAACCCUAAUUCAAGAGUACGAAUAGAGUCCCAAUAGCAAGAGUUCACCCAAAGCUUCUAAUUCAAGUUAUGUGGGAUUUGAACAAGGACACUCCUUUCGUCCUUGUGCCCAGAAGUUAUUUUACAUUACAAGAAUAUUGUCUUCACAUGUUAUCUUAUGAAAAUUAAAGUAUGAGUUUGUACCCUUUGUUGUUGUUCUUGAGAUUAUGAUAAUUUCCAUGUUUUAGAAAUUGAGAUACAUGAUUAUGUUGAGAUUUUAAUGCAUAAUGCUGAAAUUCCAGAUUUCUAUAUGAUUUAUGAAUCCUUAUGAUCUCUAGUAUGCAUUUUGAUGAGUUUUAACUUGAGAUUGAACUAUAGGCUACUAAGCCCUACUUGAGAAUUGCAAUUUUAUGAACUUUUGUGCUAUAAGAACCUAUGAUUUGAGUACUUUGAGAUUAUUGAGAAAUAUUUGACCUUUUUGGUCCUAAUAGAGUUGGAAUCCACAAUGAUGUUCAAUUAAAACAAAUAGUAAUACAUUUUGGUCUUCAGUAUAGACCCUUGAGUUAUUUGAGGUGGAUUUUCUAAGAGUUCUGAGCUGAGUAUGGGAGUAGUAUUUAGCACCGAGUUGGGUAUGAUUUUGAGGCCUCAUUCCCCAAAACUACGUACCACCGUAGGACUGGCAUUUAUGGGCCCGAGGAUGAGAUAGUGAUCACUGAGUUGAGGUUAUACUCCCUGGCAAGAGUAUGAUUCCUCUCCUCAAUGUGAGGUUUCUUUCUUAGAAGGACAAGAUGUUGGACUCCAUGUAGCUCACAUGGUUUAUGUUGGUUAGAAGAAACUCCCGAGUGUCCAAAGUUAAAUAAUCCCGAGUUCUAAGUGUCCUAAGUCUAAUAGAGUUCUAGAUUUCCCAAGUGUUGAAAAUUCCUUAAAGUUCUGAGUCCUUGAGUUUUAAAGAAGUUUUACUCUCCAUGAGAUAAAAGUAGGAGUUUCAAAGUAUUGUUUCAAGUUUCUUUAGCUGUCAAGUAUUGAGAAUAAGAGGAGAGUAGAGAUUUUAAAGUUAAGUAUAAUGACUCAUGAGAUUUGUAUUUCAUGUUUCACUAUUCAUGAUUCAUGAGAACUAUAUUUUAGAUUUAUUCAAGCCAUAUGAGUCAUUCAUAUAUGCAUGCAUGAUGUUAUAAAGCGUAAUGAUAAUGUUUAUUUAAAUGCAUACACCCCCAUAUACUCAGUACAUUCUCAAGUGUUGAUCCACAUAUACGUCUAUGUGCUACAUUGUUUUAUAAUAUAGGUUCAGGUGCUCAGUCUCAGCCUCGCCAAUGAUUUUUGAGUACCUUUGUCUACAUUUCCACAGUGGUGAGUUCUCAUGGUUCAAGGACCUAUCUUUAGGCAUUUCAGUAUUUUAGUAGACAUACUAUUGCUUUCAAUUCAGUUUGAGUCAGUUGGGGGCCUAUCUCAAUGGCUCUCUAGUCAUGGAGUAGUAGAGGCUUUGUUAGACUAGUUUUGAGAUUGUUAGUAUGUUGAGAUUUCCAGUAUUGUGGUUAUUUGGACCGAGUAUUUUCUUCUUAUUUCCUAUCAUUUGAUAUGACAGUACCAGUGUUUUGUUUAUUUCAUCUCGAAAUAAGUUAUUGUAUGUAGUAAUAGGCUCAAAGGAUUAGUUUGGGGCUACUUGUAGCCUUAAGCACUGUGUGACGCUUCGGGAUAAGAUUUUCGGGCGUUACAGUUUGAUCCUAAAAUCAAGAUUUCUAAUCGAAUUAAUUAAUAAAUAGAUUAAAUGUCUAAACGAUUCGUGUAUUAAUAAAUCCUAGGUUUGUGUACCUAAAUGAUUCAUAUAGCCCGAAACACACAUAAAAACCUAAGUCGUGUUUACCUAUACUAUUCAUAGAGUACAUAAGUCCCCGCCCCCCGAGUAGUCCCCCAAAUUUAUUAUUACAAUAAUAAGGUUUGUACAACACAUACGAAUACAGAUGAGGCUAUGAAACUUGCAAAUGAAAAAAUAAAAUAAAAUAAACAGCUCUUCCCAAGGUACAGUGAUUCUUUAUAUAAUCCCGACCUGUCAAACGUAAUGCAACAACAUGGAAAACACGAAGGCCGCAAAGAUACUAUGGAAAAAAAUGACCAAACAAUGACACGGUAAACAUAACACAGAAGAGUCCUUAUAAACAUGCUUUCUAACACCUUAAAGCAUUUAAUGAACAAAUAAAUAAGUAAUUAAAUUACAUCGUUUAUAUACUUACUGGUAAGCAGCAAUAAAAGAAAUAAUAAGGAUAAAUAAAAGCCAAGAACUUGUAAGAAUAAUAUGCAGGGUGCUUCCAGUAAGCCUCGAAGAAAACCAAAAUACUCUUAAAAUAUGUAAUUGCCGUGUAAUAAAAUAGCUAGUGAUUCUUUUUGUUUUUGAGAGUAGUGAUUGUAAUCGAAGAGUUGAUUGUCAAUUGAAAGAGAGGUUGUUUAUAUAGAAAAGGGGGCCAAAAAAUAUAAGGAAGGGGGAUAUCUUACCAAUCAAUCAAGGAGAAAUAAAAGAGAUGUAUUUCGAAAUUAAUCAACAAUCAAUUAGGAGGAGAAAAGUUUAUCUAAUUUACCCUAGAUAGGCCCAUAAAAAUCUUCUCUUAAAAUAACACCGAGAAUAAAUGACAGAAGUAACACAAAAGGCAAAUACUGAUAUGGACAGCUUAAUUCAAAGAAAAAAUGGUAAAAAGAAUCGAUCACGAAAAAAAACAUGUCAAGCAUUUAUGCAAAAAUGAUAUGCACAUUCUAAAUAAGAACAAAAAACAUUCUUAGCCUCAAUAGGUACCAAAAAUGACAUAUUAAGUAGAAAUAUACCACAAUUAUAUGAUUAAGAUCUAUAUCAACCCUAAUCACAAUGAGCAAAUAAGAGAAAAUCAAUACCAACUAAUCCGCCAUAAUUGCAAAGAAAUCUGUCCAAAUAUUAAAAAAAUGAUUCGUAUCGAAAUAAGUUUUCGACAUCCAAUUUGAUAGCAUUUCAGCAGCAACAUAAUCAUGUAAUUUGAUAAUGGAUAAAUUAGUACUCAUCAAAUGAAGGGUCACAAAAUUUGGGUAUUUUUCCACGUAGGUUAAUUAGCAUGAAGUUAAAAGAAAUAUGCCAAAAUUCAUAACCAUAUUCUAGUAAUUUCACAUCUAAGAGUUUGUUAAAAAAUAAAAGGAGUAGGAGAAAUUAAAGAUGAGAAAACCUGGGAUGGAUUUCUGAAAGUCUGUCGUGAAUAUUUUGCCGGAUAUCGAAGCGGUGGGGCGAUUUUGAACUAUUUUACCGGCGGAGCUGGCUGGUUCGUUGUUGGAUGUGGUGACGCAACUUGGGGGUUGCCGGAGUUGACGUUAUUAUUUUUUGGUGUCGCGGUGGCACAACUGGUGUAUGGUAUCGCCGACUAUCGUUAGCAGUGCUUCAGCAGUCAUUACCUUCGGUGUAGCAAUAAUGGUGGGAAGCGGUGCUGAUCUGAGGUACGGUGAGACGGCUGGCUCGCUGGUGGGCCGCCGUGGUUUUGUCCAGCGGUGGAGAUGAUUUCUAGAAAAAGAGGGGGGAGUAGAGAGGGGGAGUUGGGGUGCGGUUGUUUGUGAGUGGGGAAA